CCCUGCGUGAUUGGCUGCGGGUCAUCUCGUUCGCCUGCCGUGCAGCAUCUAGCCUCAGCAUCCUGGCAGCGGCGUUCCAGGUCACCAGCAGCAACACCGUCUCCCCUCCUCAGCUCUGAGUUUAGAUAAUAAAAACAGAAGCCUUAGCCGUUCACGGGUGUGUGCGCCUUUUCUUUUCCUUGCACUGGCGGCUCGUAUCCAGGAUGGCUGAGAGCGAGGCAGACACGCCGAGCACGCCGAUUGAGUUUGAGAGCAAAUACUUCGAGUUUGAUGGAGUGCGGCUGCCGCCCUUCUGCAGAGGGAAGAUGGAGGAGAUCGCCAACUUCUCCCUCAGAAGUAGCGACAUAUGGAUUGUCACCUACCCAAAGUCAGGCACCAGUCUACUCCAGGAGAUUGUGUAUCUGGUGAGUCAGGGAGCAGACCCCGAUGAGAUCGGCCUUAUGAACAUCGACGAACAGUUGCCUGUCUUAGAAUACCCACAGCCUGGGCUGGACAUCAUACAGGAGCUGACAUCUCCUCGAUUGAUCAAAAGCCAUCUUCCCUACCGAUUCCUUCCUACGGCCAUGCACAAUGGGGAGGCCAAGGUGAUCUACAUGGCUCGGAACCCUAAGGACUUGGUGGUGUCCUACUAUCAGUUCCACCGCUCUCUCAGGACCAUGAGCUACCGGGGAACCUUCCAGGAGUUCUGCCGGCGCUUCAUGAAUGACAAGCUGGGAUAUGGCUCCUGGUUUGAACAUGUUCAGGAAUUCUGGGAACAUCGUAUGGACUCUAAUGUCCUCUUCUUGAAAUAUGAAGACAUGUACAAGGAUCUGGGGACGUUGGUGGAGCAGCUGGCCCGGUUCCUGGGUGUUUCCUGUGACAAGGCUCAGCUGGAGGGGAUGGUGGAGAGCUGCAACCAGCUUAUUGAGCAGUGCUGCAACUCGGAGGCUCUGUCUGUCUGCAGGGUGCAUGGAAGUCUGGUAUCUGGUCUGCUAUAGGUUUAACACAGAGCUAGCGGUCAGUCUGAUCUGUCUCUUACACACCACAGCAGGUCGUGUAGGUCUGUGGAAGGACGUCUUCACAGUGUCUAUGAAUGAUAAGUUUGAUGCGAUAUACAGACAGAAGAUGGGCAAAUCCGACCUGACCUUUGACUUCUGCCUGUGAGGAGCUCCUGAUGUCUCCUCUCCCAACCACCACCUCCCUCCUCCCACUGAUCUACGUCAGUACAGUCGACAAGUGCUCACAUCCUGCCAAAACCCACGCUCCUAUGUCUCCAUUCAGUCAAUCAGUCUGAAGUUUAACGGUACAGUUUGACAGUGGGAUCACACUACAAGACUUUUCCCCACAAUGCAAUCCCUCUCAAGUCAAUAUGUCAUCCAAAAAUCACACCCUUGUGGACUGAUCAAAAAGAAUCUAGAAUUAUUAGGAGAUAACUGAAUUUUCUCAAUCAGUAGUUAAACCAAACCUCCCUCAACCCCUACCUCCACAGUAUGCUUAGACUGCUGUGUAUGUUUGUGUGUACUGGUCAGGGUUAGACUGGUAUAAGUCUUUGAAAGUCAAUACCAUUGAGCUAAAGUGUUAGUCAACAGGAAUUCAACCCACAUUCAGAUGUGACUGAGAUAAACUAAAAAUCACAUUAAUGCAGCAGGACAGGGAAAAAAACAGCCAUUUCAUUAGUUCAUGUUAUGGCUGUGUUGCUCUUAAAGGUUUCUUGACCUGUUGUUGGUCUCAUAGAUGAGAAACUGUUCAACCUAACGGGUUUUAAAGACCUAAGGGUUUUUGUGUCUUCUUGCACAGUGACUACUAUAACAUACUAGUAAUUCACUACCAUUGAAAAGUUUGGGGUCUCUUAGAAAUUUCAUUAUUUUUGAAAGAAAAGCAUUUUUUUUUCAAUGAAGAUAUCAUUACAAUAACAUAACACAGAGUCCAGACAUUGUUAAUGUGGUAAAUGACUAUUCUAGCUGGAAACAGCUGAUUUUUAAUGGAAUAUCUCCAUAGAGGUACAGAGGAACAUUUCCAGCAACCAUCACUCCUGUGUUCUAAUGCUACAUUGUGUUAGUUAAUGGUGUUGAAAGGCUAAUUGAUGAUUAGAAAACCCUUGUGCAGUUAUGUUAGCACAUGAAUAAAAAUGUGAGUUUUCAUGGAAAACAUGAAAUUUUCUUAGUAACCCCAAACUUUGAACAGUAGUGUAUAACAUUAAAGUGAAUGUUAUUUGAGUAUUUUAUUAUGUACUCAUGCUGGAUGACACAGUCUUCAAAUGUUACCUAAAAUCUAAAUGCAGGUCAUGCUCUCAGUCAGUGCUUUGACUUGUGAUUUGCAGUGUAUAUCAGCCACAACUAUCUGUACAUGUGUGUCUCUGGAUGUCAGUUGGACAAUCCCUGUGAAACAUUUGAAUUGUCAGGAGACACCAAAACUCUCAAGGGAAGAAGUCCAGAUGGAUGAAACACUUAGUUAGUAGCUCCGUAGGUUCGGUCGCACACACUUGUUUAGUGCGACACCUGGAAUACAUUACUACCUGUAUCUGGAAAAUUACACCACCCAGCUGUUGAUAACACCAGUGCUUUCCCAUCCUACAUAGAAUUGGUUUAACUCUGAUUCUGUGUACUUUCACGGUUGUCCAGAUGUAACAGCAGAUACAUGGAAGGUAACUGUAAGAGGUGAAGCUUGUAACACCUAAUUGAACCCAGCAGCUCAGUGUCACAGCUGGGAGAGUGUUGCUGUGUUGGAUCAUCCUUUAUUUGCUUUGUUUUGCUCGUGGUGCUGCAGGAUUUUCAGCCACCAUCACUGACACAAUGGAAGAGCUUUAUGUGUGUGUGUGUGUGUGUGUGUGUAUGUGUAUGUGUGUGUGUGUGUGUGUGUGUGUGCAUGUGUGUGAGUUAAAGACAGGAGGAGAUGUCUUGUCAAUGCUCAAAAAUACCACCCGAGUACAUCAGUGUCCCAUCAGAUUCAAUGAGCUGCCAAUGGCCAUUAAAGCUGCUAUGUGGAGGAUAAGAACAUGUACCUGGAUCAGACCCAGCACUGUGGCUGGAUCACAUCUGACUAUAUUCAUGUCAUUAAGGAGGAACAACCUCGAUAGUCAUUUGAGCACCAAUCUGCUGGUACAUUGUAUUUCUGUGAAGUAACGAUAUGUGGCCCAGUUUGCCCUCUGGUGGUCACAAUUUGCAGUAGCUACUAAUGCCAUGAUUUGAAUGCAGAAUUUAGAGCCUCAUAUCUGAUGUAGACAAACUCAGUGCAACAAUUUGAAGGUUUUAUCAGAAGGACAAUACACUCACUGUCACUCACUGUAGGUGUAUCAACACAAACAUUAGAAACACAGCUAACGUGCAAUAAGGAAUUGAAUUACUGUCUUUAUUUGAAAGAGAAACCUACUUUGAAGGAUUAAGGACCUCCUAUUGGCUCCCGCUGGCCUGAUGUAUUCAUGCUCACUUAAGUAUAAGGAAUAUGAAACUAACUCCACUGUAUCUGACACUAUGUCAAUUAAAUAUACACUACUGUUCCAAAGUUUGGGGUCACUUAGAAAUGUCCUUAUUUUUGAAAGAAAAGCAUUUAUCUUUCAAUGAAGAUAACAUUAAAUGAAUGAUAAAUCCAGUGUAGACAUUGUUAAUGUGGUAAAUGACUAUUCUAGCUGGAAACAGCUGAUUUUUAAUGGAAUAUCUCCAUAGAGGUACAGAGGAACAUUUCCAGUAACCAUCACUCCUGUGUUCUAAUGCUACAUUGUGUUAGCUAAUGGUGUUGAAAGGCUAAUUGAUGAUUAGAAAACCCUUGUGCAAUUAUGUUAGCACAUGAAUAAAAGUGUGAGUUUUCAUGGAAAACAUGAAAUUGUCUGGGUGACUCCAAACUUUUGAACAGUAGUGUAUGUAGUGUUCUACAGGCCCUGCACACCGUUGGACUGAUUCCUGCAGUGUUAUGUGGGAAUUAAGCAAAGUCACUGGUCUCUAGCAGUAAUCUCACUGAAAAUCUACUUGGCAAAAAUGUACUCAGGUGGGUAGUGGACUGGGUAUAGUGCAGAUAGGGUUGUAAACUUGAACUCCUGGAAACAGAACAGAAUAAUUAGUAGGCCAACACCAGCAGUUCACCAAAUGAUCCAACAUUUAACCAGUUUGACUGCCGUUAACAAUCUUCUGUCAUUGCAGUCAUGCAGGAAGCAUCCUUCAACAACAAAAUCUGUCUGACAGGACAUCCAUGUUUGCUUGCUCAGUGGACAUUUUAACCAAACAAAUUAGCUUUAUUGUAAAUAUCAGGAAGUUGAUAUUUACAAUAAAUAUAUAUGGCAUGAAUGCAACAUUGGCCUACAAAUGGUUCAUGGCAAAUUACGUAAGUGAAAUGCUUCAAAUAAAUUAAAGAUGACUGAAUUAACAAAGAUAACAUAUUGUUUUUUCAAUAAACCACCACAUCUAACCAAAGACACUAAUUGAGCAACAUCGCAUUCAGUUUAAAAUGCCUCUGUUCCAAGACUUAAUUCUUACUUUAAUGGAAAUGUCAAAUAAAGCAGUUUCACUUUAGUCUCACCGCCUCUUUUUGAUUGGUUGGACCAGGACAGUCUUGAGUUUGUCAGGUUAAAGUUUAACCUGGAAAACUGUGCCUCACCCGGUUCUACAAAGAAAUGAGUGAAAAUUGGAAACCUGGUCUAAGGAGGAGGCCUAAUCAGAGAAAGGGGUUAAAAUCAGAAGACUCAGGUUUGCGUCACUGACACACUGUCAUGAAAGUGAAAAUAUCUGUUGUGAAAAGACCUUUGGGUGUGCAGGACCUGUAAACAUAGAUUUAAGCUUGAAUAUGUGUAAAAUAUUGGAACCACAUCCACACUUUCAAUUUUUUAAGUCUUAAAAAGCACUAGAUAGGAUUCACUUUCUUCAAAAAAAGGAAAAUAUAAGUCCUAAAUAUUCUGUCUCUCCUGCUAGAGGCAGUAAUGUGGUAAUAAAAAGCUGUGGUAUGUGAUGGCAGGCUGCUGGGAGCCUGGAAAUGGGAUUGUUGCAAUAGUGAAUUGUGCUGCAGGAGGCGGUUAAAUCCUUCCUUUCUGUCACUUUCUGAUUGGCGAGCUACAAUAGCUCGGAAAGUCAAAAGACUUUUGACCAAUUCAUAUUUUUUGAUACAUUUUUCAGUUCUUUUUUGUUGAGGUUCAUGGCGUAUUCAUUUUCCACUGGUUUUUCCGUCAUGCUUUCUUACUAUGAAUGGUAUGAUUGUAGAGCAGUUGCAUACUCUGUGAUACUAAAAGGUACAAAAAGUCGAUUUAACUUGGUAAACUUGAGCAUUGGUGCACCUUUCUCAAGGCCUGUGUGAACUAUGCUCCAUACCACUCCUAAUCUAUGAACAGUGACGUUUCUCUCUCUUUCUGUCUUUUCUCAGAAGUGUUGAGUUUUGUUUGCAUGGGAGGAGCGAGCAGAGUAUUAACAAAGCAUAACCAGCAUUAACUGUUCAGCUACAUACUGUAGUGUCACGACAGCGCCACCAUCUGGAGUCACACUAUUUACCUGAGGCAUCACUGACAAACAGUCCUGCACCUCGUCCUCCUCUGUUGCUGCAGUAGUUUCCAGUCCAGCAGAUUGGUCCCUACGCUCUAUCAGACACUUGUGAAUGUCUUUAUUGUGUGGAUGUAAACAGCAACCUCACUCUCCAUACCAUCUCUUUUACAGCUGCGCAUUCUUUCUUGUCAUUGUUCUCUCUUCUCUCUGCCACUCUGUUUACAGCCGUUGGCAAGGCUUCAGCCAGCCCAUCUCCACUUUUAUGGUUUGUUUGGGUUUUUAUACAUGCCUGCCUCUGUUUCCUGGGCGUCGUUCAUUGUAUUUGACAUGCUAUGCUUGCUGGUUUAUUAAUAAAGUUUUGUCUUCAGGCAAUA